rnacentral:rRNA from 2 species
AUGAAUCAAAACUUUCAACAACGGAUCUCUUGGUUCUGGCAUCGAUGAAGAACGCAGCGAAAUGCGAUAAGUAAUGUGAAUUGCAGAAUUCAGUGAAUCAUCGAAUCUUUGAACGCACAUUGCGCCCGCCAGUAUUCUGGCGGGCAUGCCUGUCCGA